rnacentral:lncRNA from 1 species
AAAUAUUGAAAUUUUAAUUUCUUUUUAAAUUUUUUAUCCAAACAUCUUAUUUCACUUGAAGAUAAUUAAAAUCCUUUAAAAAAUUGAAUUAUCCUAUAAAUUUCUUCAUUUUUUUUUCUUUUUCCUUUCUCUUCUCUCUCCGCUGAUCGUCUUCCCCUCUCUUUGUAUCGCCACCACCAUGCACCACCAUCUCUCCAGGAAGACCACCACACCCUGCUCGAAACCUUUGCCUCUCUCGUUUAUUGAGCUCAGAGGUACCAAGAUCAGAGACUCUCCCAGCGGAAGGGACAACAGAGAAAGGUCGAUGAGGAACAAAUCUAGGAUUUGUAGAUCUCGUCGGCGCAACCCACCGUCGACGAGCGCUUCCGGCUGCAACGAUAACUAUCAUGUCUCAUUCAUCAUCCUCACUCAACAAAUUGCAAACGUUUUGUUUUGCGAUCUGAUUGUGUUUGUUUUCUCUUUUCUGAAACAAUGCCACUAAGAUCCAAAUAUGUACUGUCCAGAUCGAGAUUGAAGCUUGCGUUUUGGUUUGCAAUGUGCAUUUUGAAUUACUGAAUCUUAUUGUUUUUUUUUUAAAUGAGGAUUUUCCUUCGAGAUCUUAAUCGAUAUUGUUUUCGUGGUUCUUUGAAGAGGUGGAGGUAUUGU